rnacentral:rRNA from 1 species
ACACAUGCAAGUCGAGGGGCAGCAUGGUCUUAGCUUGCUAAGGCUGAUGGCGACCGGCGCACGGGUGAGUAACACGUAUCCAACCUGCCGUCUACUCUUGGCCAGCCUUCUGAAAGGAAGAUUAAUCCAGGAUGGGAUCAUGAGUUCACAUGUCCGCAUGAUUAAAGGUAUUUUCCGGUAGACGAUGGGGAUGCGUUCCAUUAGAUAGUAGGCGGGGUAACGGCCCACCUAGUCAACGAUGGAUAGGGGUUCUGAGAGGAAGGUCCCCCACAUUGGAACUGAGACACGGUCCAAACUCCUACGGGAGGCAGCAGUGAGGAAUAUUGGUCAAUGGGCGAUGGCCUGAACCAGCCAAGUAGCGUGAAGGAUGACUGCCCUAUGGGUUGUAAACUUCUUUUAUAAAGGAAUAAAGUCGGGUAUGCAUACCCGUUUGCAUGUACUUUAUGAAUAAGGAUCGGCUAACUCCGUGCCAGCAGCCGCGGUAAUACGGAGGAUCCGAGCGUUAUCCGGAUUUAUUGGGUUUAAAGGGAGCGUAGAUGGAUGUUUAAGUCAGUUGUGAAAGUUUGCGGCUCAACCGUAAAAUUGCAGUUGAUACUGGAUGUCUUGAGUGCAGUUGAGGCAGGCGGAAUUCGUGGUGUAGCGGUGAAAUGCUUAGAUAUCACGAAGAACUCCGAUUGCGAAGGCAGCCUGCUAAGCUG